rnacentral:rRNA from 1 species
UACGAAGGGGGCUAGCGUUGCUCGGAAUCAUUGGGCGUAAAGCGCGUGUAGGCGGUCCGGUAAGUCCGUUGUGAAAGUCAAGGGCUCAACCCUUGAAUGCCGGCGGAUACUGUCGGGCUAGAGUCCGGAAGAGGCGAGUGGAAUUCCCGGUGUAGCGGUGAAAUGCGCAGAUAUCGGGAGGAACACCUAUGGCGAAGGCAGCUCGCUGGGACGGUACUGACGCUGAGGUGCGAAAGCGUGGGGAGCAAACAGG